AGGCGGAAUUGACGACAACAACGACACAAACACCGGAAGUAUGCAUGGAUCUAAAUGCUGCUUUCUGCAGCACCACAUCUGUUCAGUCUUCUAUAUGUUCCGACCCCGACCUGUCUGUAAACUGGUGCAGAAAAACAUGCGGAAGAUGUCCUACGACGACCACCACCACCUCGGUCCCGUGUGUGGACAACACCCCGGACCUAUGCAGUGCUCCAGGAGCAGACCUAGUCUUCUGCUCAGAUCCUGCGCGCGCAGUCAAAUACUGCCAAAAAACCUGUAAUAAAUGCGAUAUCCAUCUACAUCAAAACACGGCCACACCAGUACGUUCUACAACUGCGACAACAACGACAACACCAACAAC